rnacentral:rRNA from 1 species
CAGCAGCCACGGGAAUACGUAGGGUGCAAGCGUUAAUCGGAAUUACUGGGCGUAAAGCGUGCGCAGGCGGUUCGUUAAGACAGAUGUGAAAUCCCCGGGCUUAACCUGGGAACUGCAUUUGUGACUGGCGGGCUAGAGUAUGGCAGAGGGGGGUAGAAUUCCACGUGUAGCAGUGAAAUGCGUAGAGAUGUGGAGGAAUACCGAUGGCGAAGGCAGCCCCCUGGGCCAAUACUGACGCUCAUGCACGAAAGCGUGGGGAGCAAACAGGAUUAGAUACCCCUUAGUCCCUGUCUCUUAUACC